UUUCAUCUUCCAUUUGUCAGGAAUUUUUACAAAAAAUCUCAAAAGCAAAUGGAAAACAACAUAAGUUUAACUUGAACUCCGUCCAAAUUAAAAAUUUGAAAAGAAAAAUUUAACAAAUAAAAAAAUAGAAAGAUGUGCAUGUGCAAGUAAUGCAUUUUCCCUUUGAAGCUCUAAAAAAAAAUAUGAUAUGCUUACGCACUCAUAUUUUAAACUGUAUUGAGCUUUAACUCAAAGUUCAUUAGUUAUCUUAAAUAGCUACUACCUAUGACAAUUUUUUUUUAUUUUAUCAAUCAAAUAUGUCGUAGGUAUGUACGGGAAGGUAUCUACCUAUAUAAUCUUUAAAAUGGAAAAAAAUAAUUUUUGCUUUACAUUUAAUGCUUUAAAUAUGGACCUACACUACUUAUCACUUUAACAACUAAUUUACAUCCUAUAAAGUUGUUCGGAGGGUCGGCAAUCUCUUAGAUUAAUUCCUUUACCCGUUUGUACGAUCUACCAACAUAUCUGCAGUAGAAGAUUUUAUGGAGGGAAAAACAAAUCGAAACAGAGAAAGCAGAGAAGCGAUUGCAUUUUGUUACAACAAUUUCAGCACAUUUUCCUGUCUGUAUUUUAAUAAAUAAAAAUUCCUUGGUAAAUUACUUACCUACAGAUAUUCCAAAUUUAUCAGAUUUUCUUAUAGUCGGACUACAAAAUAAUAUUCCACGUCAGGUUUCUGCGCUGCUAAUUGCAAAAGAAUAAAAAAGAAAGAGAAAUUCGUGAGCACGAACGAAUGAGCAAAACCUUUAUGUGAUGACCACCGAUCCGAUGGGG